rnacentral:rRNA from 1 species
GUGGGGAAUAUUGGACAAUGGGCGCAAGCCUGAUCCAGCCAUGCCGCGUGAGUGAUGAAGGCCUUAGGGUUGUAAAGCUCUUUCAGUGGGGACGAUAAUGACGGUACCCACAGAAGAAGCCCCGGCUAACUUCGUGCCAGCAGCCGCGGUAAUACGAAGGGGGCUAGCGUUGUUCGGAUUUACUGGGCAUAAAGCGCACGUAGGCGGAUCGUUAAGUCGGGGGUGAAAUCCUGGAGCUCAACUCCAGAACUGCCUUCGAUACUGGCGAUCUUGAGUCCGGAAGAGGUGAGUGGAACUCCUAGUGUAGAGGUGGAAUUCGUAGAUAUUAGGAAGAACACCAGUGGCGAAGGCGGCUCACUGGUCCGGUACUGACGCUGAGGUGCGAAAGCGUGGGGAGCAAACAGGAUUAGAAACCCUUGUAGUCC